UACGUAGGGGGCAAGCGUUGUCCGGAUUUAUUGGGCGUAAAGAGCGUGUAGGCGGCUAGGUAGGUCCGUUGUGAAAACUCGAGGCUCAACCUCGAGCUGUCGAUGGAAACCAUCUGGCUAGAGUCCGGAAGAGGAGAGUGGAAUUCCUGGUGUAGCGGUGAAAUGCGCAGAUAUCAGGAGGAACACCAAUGGCGAAGGCAGCACUCUGGGACGUGACUGACGCUGAGACGCGAAAGCGUGGGGAGCAAACAGG
rnacentral:rRNA from 1 species